GUUGUAUGGUUAAGUGACUAAGCGUACACGGUGGAUGCCUGGGCAGUCAGAGGCGAUGAAGGACGUACUAACUUGCGAUAAGCGCAGAUAAGGCAGUAAGAGCCGUUUGAGUCUGCGAUUUCCGAAUGGGGAAACCCAACUGCAUAAGCAGUUACUGUUAACUGAAUACAUAGGUUAACAGAGCAAACCGGGGGAACUGAAACAUCUAAGUACCCCGAGGAGAAGAAAUCAACCGAGAUUCCGGUAGUAGCGGCGAGCGAACCUGGAUUAGCCCUUAAGCACUCGGUGAAGUAGGUGAACAAGCUGGAAAGCUUGGCGAUACAGGGUGAUAGCCCCGUAACCGACGCUUCAUCGAGCGUGAAAUCGAGUAGGGCGGGACACGUGAUAUCCUGUCUGAAUAUGGGGGGACCAUCCUCCAAGGCUAAAUACUCCUGACUGACCGAUAGUGAACCAGUACCGUGAGGGAAAGGCGAAAAGAACCCCUGUGAGGGGAGUGAAAUAGAACCUGAAACCGUGUACGUACAAGCAGUAGGAGCACCUUCGUGGUGUGACUGCGUACCUUUUGUAUAAUGGGUCAGCGACUUAUAUUCAGUGGCAAGGUUAACCGUAUAGGGGAGCCGUAGCGAAAGCGAGUCUUAACUGGGCGCUCAGUCUCUGGAUAUAGACCCGAAACCGGGUGAUCUAGCCAUGGGCAGGUUGAAGGUUGAGUAACAUCAACUGGAGGACCGAACCGACUAAUGUUGAAAAAUUAGCGGAUGACUUGUGGCUAGGGGUGAAAGGCCAAUCAAACUCGGAGAUAGCUGGUUCUCCCCGAAAGCUAUUUAGGUAGCGCCUCGGACGAAUACUACUGGGGGUAGAGCACUGUUAAGGCUAGGGGGUCAUCCCGACUUACCAACCCUUUGCAAACUCCGAAUACCAGUAAGUACUAUCCGGGAGACACACGGCGGGUGCUAACGUCCGUCGUGGAGAGGGAAACAACCCAGACCGCCAGCUAAGGUCCCAAAGUAUUGCUAAGUGGGAAACGAUGUGGGAAGGCUCAGACAGCUAGGAUGUUGGCUUAGAAGCAGCCAUCAUUUAAAGAAAGCGUAAUAGCUCACUAGUCGAGUCGGCCUGCGCGGAAGAUGUAACGGGGCUAAGCAAUACACCGAAGCUGCGGCAAUAUCUUUUAGAUAUUGGGUAGGGGAGCGUUCUGUAAGCCGUUGAAGGUGAAUCGUAAGGUUUGCUGGAGGUAUCAGAAGUGCGAAUGCUGACAUGAGUAACGACAAAGGGGGUGAAAAACCUCCUCGCCGGAAGACCAAGGGUUCCUGUCCAACGUUAAUCGGGGCAGGGUGAGUCGACCCCUAAGGUGAGGCCGAAAGGCGUAAUCGAUGGGAAACGGGUUAAUAUUCCCGUACUUCUGACUAUUGCGAUGGGGGGACGGAGAAGGCUAGGUGGGCCAGGCGACGGUUGUCCUGGUUCAAGUGCGUAGGCUUGAGAGUUAGGUAAAUCCGGCUCUCUUUAAGGCUGAGACACGACGUCGAGCUGCUACGGCAGUGAAGUCAUUGAUGCCAUGCUUCCAGGAAAAGCCUCUAAGCUUCAGAUAGUUAGGAAUCGUACCCCAAACCGACACAGGUGGUCGGGUAGAGAAUACCAAGGCGCUUGAGAGAACUCGGGUGAAGGAACUAGGCAAAAUGGUACCGUAACUUCGGGAGAAGGUACGCUCUUGAUGGUGAAGUCCCUCGCGGAUGGAGCUGACGAGAGUCGCAGAUACCAGGUGGCUGCAACUGUUUAUUAAAAACACAGCACUGUGCAAAAUCGCAAGAUGACGUAUACGGUGUGACGCCUGCCCGGUGCCGGAAGGUUAAUUGAUGGGGUUAGCGCAAGCGAAGCUCUUGAUCGAAGCCCCGGUAAACGGCGGCCGUAACUAUAACGGUCCUAAGGUAGCGAAAUUCCUUGUCGGGUAAGUUCCGACCUGCACGAAUGGCGUAAUGAUGGCCACGCUGUCUCCACCCGAGACUCAGUGAAAUUGAAAUCGCUGUGAAGAUGCAGUGUACCCGCGGCUAGACGGAAAGACCCCGUGAACCUUUACUACAGCUUGGCACUGAACAUUGAACCUACAUGUGUAGGAUAGGUGGGAGGCUAUGAAGACGUGACGCCAGUUGCGUUGGAGCCGUCCUUGAAAUACCACCCUUGUAUGUUUGAUGUUCUAACUUAGACCCGUUAUCCGGGUUGAGGACAGUGCCUGGUGGGUAGUUUGACUGGGGCGGUCUCCUCCCAAAGAGUAACGGAGGAGCACGAAGGUGGGCUAAUCACGGUUGGACAUCGUGAGGUUAGUGCAAUGGCAUAAGCCCGCUUAACUGCGAGAAUGACGGUUCGAGCAGGUGCGAAAGCAGGUCAUAGUGAUCCGGUGGUUCUGUAUGGAAGGGCCAUCGCUCAACGGAUAAAAGGUACUCCGGGAUAACAGGCUGAUACCGCCCAAGAGUUCAUAUCGACGGCGGUGUUUGGCACCUCGAUGUCGGCUCAUCACAUCCUGGGGCUGAAGUCGGUCCCAAGGGUAUGGCUGUUCGCCAUUUAAAGUGGUACGCGAGCUGGGUUUAGAACGUCGUGAGACAGUUCGGUCCCUAUCUGCCGUGGGCGUUGGAAGAUUGAAGGGGGCUGCUCCUAGUACGAGAGGACCGGAGUGGACGAACCUCUGGUGUUCGGGUUGUGUCGCCAGACGCAUUGCCCGGUAGCUAAGUUCGGAAUUGAUAAGCGCUGAAAGCAUCUAAGCGCGAAGCGAGCCCUGAGAUGAGUCUUCCCUGAUACUUUAAGUAUCCUAAAGGGUUGUUCGAGACUAGAACGUUGAUAGGCAGGGUGUGUAAGCGUUGUGAGGCGUUGAGCUAACCUGUACUAAUUGCCCGUGAGGCUUAACCAUACAACACCCAAGGGGUUUUGUA
rnacentral:rRNA from 1 species